GCUUGAUCUUAUUAUAUGUGGUCACUGAUAGCAAUUUUGUAAGUGAUCACUGGGGCAGCAUAGAUCAAACUUUUUAUGUUAUCUUUGAAUCAAAAUGGAUGGCACAGUCACAAUUCUCUGUUAGCCCGAAUGCUUAUGUGUACAUGUGCAUGCUCUAAACUGUCCAGCUGAGAACAGCACCACCCAAAGUCACUGUAAACACUAGCAAAGAUGGGGACGCUUUCAGUCAUGUGACAGUAAUACUGUUUCUCACCCCUCUUAAGGAGCUUCCAGACCAUGUGCAGCACUAGUGUUGUGGGGGAGUAGAAGCGGGUACGCUGCUUUCCAGGGGCAGGAGCGUGUGGCAGAGCUCGUGCUGGCGGUGGCAGAGCUGCCUGCGCUGCAGCCCGUGCUGGCCCGCAGCCGCAGAGUGACAGCGAGAGCAAGCGGGGAAAUUCAGUGCAGCUCCCAAUGAAGUUGUGCUGGAGAGGGAGCAGGGCUCGUUCAGGUCGCUCCAGCAGUCCAGCGUGCAGCACUGCUCCCCAGGCAGUUAUGCUAGCAUCACUGGUGGGCGCAAGAUCAAACAAAAUCAAAAUGGGGCGGGUCUUCAAAGUGAUUUUAUUUUACUAUUUUUAUUUACUUUUACUGUAUUUAUAAGACUGAAUUAACACAAAUGACGAUAGCUAGUAUCUCUUUAGAACAAUCACUGCUUUCAAAUCCUGUUAGGUCUCUGAGCAUGAAGUAUUUCGUGUCCUCUAUAGGUGGUGCUAGAGAUCCAGUUAAACUUAAGCGUAGUCCUUUCUGCUUGGUAAUGCAUGCUUCCUGUUAAACAGAUUUCACAGUUUCCUGCUUUUGACACUUUCCCAGGUACAAAUGGUAAAAAUAUUUCAAAAGCCACUUUUAUAAGAAGUUACAAAAGGCCUAGCUGUAAACACUCCGUUAAGAUCCCAUGAAACAGAGUUAUAGCCAGAAAUUAAUCUCACAAUUUAAUAACUGUCCCUUGAGAGGGCAUGGUAAUUCGUAACAGCAUCUCUUGUAAAGCUCGCUUGCUUCCAAGCCUGUGGUAAAUAAUUCGUGUAGCCUCCUCAAGUUCUACCAUGGCCACGGAGAUCUGCAGCAAUUUGUCUCCUUCCUGAAAAAUAUAAUAUUUGGAUGGAUUUUGUUCUUCUUGCCCCAGGAUCUCAAAGCCCUUUGUGGGUGGCAAUUACCCGGGUGAGCUCAUGCACGAUGUUCGCAGAAGGUGCCGUGCUGAGCUGGAGUAAUAAACCGGCAGCCUUCUGAGCUAGGUCCUCUCUCAGCCUUACCGAUGAAACAAUGUGUGGUGUUAUAAACAUCUUCCAGCUUACCAAGACUUGAUGUGGCAGACACCUAAAAUGAAGAUGGAAGCUCAUCAAAACUGAGACUCCCUGAUGGACAUGAGACAGAGCAAGGCCGAUGAUGCAGGUCUUCUGUGUCCCAGUGUCAAAAGACUAAAGAAUACCAAUUGACCGUGGUCCAUCAUUUGCCAGACUUUCAAGGGAAGAAAAAAGGGAAAUGCUUGACACAGCACUGAGGAACAAGACAUCACAGAAGGAAAAACUGUCUUUCUCUCAGAUAAUAAGGAUAACUGGUGAUAAAAAGCUAGUAGAAAAGAUGUCUGCCCUGAGCAGGGGCCACAGCAAGCCACUGGCAUGCUUUGCAAAGGCUGUCCCUUGUCCUCCAUUUCCUCUUUUUUCAUACCAAUUUCUGAUAUCAUCCACUUGAGGUCUAUGGACUCUAGAGAGUUUGUCCUACUGCAACCAAAGUAACCCCAAGCACAGCUCAUCCAUACGUAGCAGUGAAACCAACAUCCUGGCAGGAACAGAAUUCUAUUGAUGUCUCCAGCCCUUUUACAAAGAUGGUUAGCCAUGCUUGGUGCCAGCAAUGAAGGAAUGAGAAGCACUUUUCAGUCUUCUGGCAUUUUUAAUAAUACUAAUAAAAAGUAAUAUGCCUUAUCCUCAGAAUAGGCCUUCCUGUUUUGCCUAAAAUGGUACAUUAGGUGGUUGAAAAGGCCCAAAAGGAAAUGGCUUAUGUCGUGAGGGAAAAUAAGCUGUGGGGUUUUUUUCUGAGUCUGACCCCUCCAGAUAUUGUAGAAAUACAUGUGUCUUAGCAUGUCCCGUGCCAUGGGAACAGUCACCUGGCAGCAGCGCUCAAGAGCAGAGUGCCCUGCCCACAGGGCUGGGUGCACUUGGUGGAAAUGCCUCCGUGAAGGAGCCAGGGCUCGGGGGAGAGAAGCCAGCUGGCUGUUUGCACAGUUACCGAGUACUGGCUAGUGCAGAGCAGUCACAGGGGAGUAUUUAAAUCUGAAUUAAUCUUCUUUUCUUCCCCAUGUAGAUAAGUCUUUAAUAAUAAAUCUAACUAUCAAUCCAAUUUAUAUGAAAAGACAUGAUCUAUAAAAUCCAUGUGCAGAAAGACAAAGCUCGCUCUAUAUUCAGUUCUAAAUAUAAAACUUCAUAGGAAUCUCUCCAUUGACUUCAGAGGCCUUUACGUUAGACCCCCCCAGUUAAAAUAUGAUUGAUGAUAUGAUUGGUACAAAAACUAGCAGUAACUUUAUACAAAAGAAACAAAAAGGAAGUUUGUUUUACUUGUCCUUUUACACGUUUGACAUGCCAGUCUCCUAUGCUGGGAUAGGUUCUCAAGUAUUUGUUUCACAGUUCAUUGACACAUGCAUGCAUAAUUGGUCUAUUUGCAUGUGUAAAUUUCUAUUAUUUGCUGUGCAGGUAGUUCCAUUCCUACACAUUUCAUUGUAUGGAUUCAAUUUUUGCAUUUGUUAAGCAGAAAUAUUUUGCAUUUGGGAAGAAAACUGUACCCCACACGCAAUUCUUCUGUUUACUGUGAUAACUAACAGCAAGCAUUAAAAACCUAACAAAGACAAGCAAACGUGCUCGCCAUUAAAGUAGUACAAAUUCAUACAGCCAAUAGAAAAUCAAGUUCAUCCAAAGGUUCUCCAUUCUGGACCUAUUCAUGUCAUAAAGAUGUUAAUUUCUUUAAAUAAUAGAAGACUAUCUUAUUUAAGUUUAAAUAGAAACACAAAUACUCUACCAUAAACUUAAGAUUUUUCUUCUCUUUCAUUCUACACUGUCUUUUAUUAGGGGAAAACAAUUCCAAAGCAUCUUUGGAGGGGGCUUCGUGAAAACUUAAUCCCUAUUCCUUUUAAUUUUAAAGGUGUUCUGUUUAAACAGUGCACUUAUCUUUCUUUAGUCAUGUUUGGUAAAAAUCUGGGUGUUUAGUAAUGGAAAAUUUUGUGUGACCCCUGUCCUGCUUGUUCAUUGAGCUAGCUUGUCUAAAGAAAGAAGGUAUCACUAUGGUAAUUGAGAAUAGUUUGGCAAUAAGGGGAUAGUUAGCAUGGCUGAUGAGUUAUGCCAUCAAUACCAAACUGAUUUCUAAGAUAAAUGCAACCCUGAGGCAUAACAAAGCACAAGUUAUGGCCAACUGUCUGUGUAUGUGAUCAUCUUUGAGUGAUAAUACAGCUUAGAGUUGCUUUUAUCACUAGCCUUGUAAAGCAUUCAUUCUGUUUUUUCUGGAAAGAAAAAGAUUAAAUUAAAAAGACAGUGCAGUGUUAUCAGCUAAAUUCUUUAGUUAGCUCCUGCAUUAACCUAAUCAUUGAACAAGUUACUCAGCUGACAUUAAAUGAGUCUAAGAAAAAUUGAAGUAUAAAUGAUUCAUUAGGAAAGCAAAUAAUUUGGGUUACAGUUACAGAAAUAGAAUUUGAAGCUCCUCAGUGAACACAUCAUCCUCUAUGUACAAACAGUUGAUAAUGUUAUCAAUGCAAAGCUGCCUCUGUGCUGCAUUUAAAAGCAAGUUGCCUUUAUUCCAGCUGCCACUCCAUUGAAAUCUGCUAUAAAUACCUACUUUAUAACACUGACCCAAUAUAUAAAUUGCUUAGUUCAAAAGAAAAGCUUUUUUGGGGGAAGGAGGGGAAUGGAGUAAGCGCAGUGUGUUGUAAAAGCUAAGUGGUUUUAUUGGCACUUAAAAAUACCCUUUUAUGCUGAACUCUAUCAGCUCUGAUUAUAUAUAACAACAGUAGUUAUGUAUUAAAAAUGUGUGUCAAUAGUUAUACUAACACUGUGAUUUGUCGUUUGUGUGCCGGAGGUCCUAACAGGCUUGACUGACAAAAUCUAGCCACAAACUUCAUGUUAAAGGGAUCAAAUGCUGAGAUAUGUUGUUUAUUUGGUAAAUUGAUAAGAGGUGCCAUCUCAGUUAUUUAAAUAAAAAAACUUCAUGUAUACCAACCACAAAAGUGCUAAUGCAUUCUGCAUUUACACAUCUCUUACAGAUGCCCAUCUCUAUGAAAGUGCAGAAAUCUCAACUGUCAUAUCAAGUCACCAGCCCAUCUAGUGCAGAUGGUUUAUCAAUGAAAUAAUGAAUAAAACCUCCAUUAAAGAUUAAGUAACAAAUUUACUCAUAUGUACACAGGAUGUCUGCCAUCCUCCUGUGCUCUGUGAUUUAGUGUGUGCUGCAGUGGCUGUGUGGCUAGAUGUUGGUGAUGGUAGGACCUAUGAACUUUUGCUCCUAAAACAACAUCCAUACGGCAUGAGGUAAAGGCAUGUCUCGCUAAAGGGUAUUAAGCCGUAUAAAGCCACAGAUCAGCUACUCAAAACUAGCAUACUUAAUGUGACAGAUGAGAAGGUACAGUCUUAUCUGCACUCUAGCCAGUAUGUAGCCAUUCAGGCAGCUUGUCUCUCCUAAACUUCUUAAAUAAGCAGCAUAUAAAGCAAACAGUAACACAAUUACUUGCAAAGGUCAGUAAAGCUUUUAAAUGUAUGGUUUUAAAACAGUGCUGUAUAUAAAAUAGUGAAUAAAGUGUCAUUACACUUGACACAAGUGAAGCUGCCCUCAGCAGGUGUUAAGUCUGUUUUGGUCAGCGAGAGGAACCACUUUUUCUAAACUGGCUUGCUCUGUUUCCAUGUGCAUUCACUGGCUAUGAAAUGAACUAUCCCUCAGGACAUUUCACUCCUGGAAUUCUCCACCUCGGCUAUACUGUAUAGAAAUUUGGGUAAAAUGGAGGAAGCAAUUUAAUACUAAAAUUCCCAAGAGUUUGGUUGUUUUGGUGAGGUGUAGCUAUGUUACACAUUGUACAUAAAAAUGAGUUCUGAAAACCCUCUCUUGGCAAUCAUAGCUCUUCUAGUAGGAGUUAGAUCAAUGACUUUAUAUAGAGAAUUGUUAAGACCUCACUGAGUAGUGAGGUCUUUGUUUUGGUUUCAAGCUGUUUUCUUCUCAGCUGAAGACCAAGCAGUUAAAUCCCUGCAUGAUCAGCCAGCUGUUUUUUCACCAUUAGUGAGGGUGCUUUGAACAAUGUGCCACAGCUGGAGAACAUGCACCUUCUUGCCCACAUAUAGACCAACUGCCAUCACCUUUGAAACCGUUUCUUUUGAGCUGCAUCUUCACGUCCCAGCUCCUCUUAAUGGCACAAAGGCUCUGACCUGCAUUCACUGAGCGAACGGCCGUGGGCGCUGGAGAAGUCACCCUCUUUACAGCUCUCCUUGUCUUCUGCGGCAGAGCUGCCAUGCCGGAAGCUAGCCUUAGUUGAACGGAGCAUUUGGCAGCGCUGCUGUUGCUCUGUUCACUUUUAAGAAUAAAAAUCCAUUGUCGUAGAUGCCUUAAACUACUGUGCAGUACUGCAAACAAGGAUGGCUGGGGCAGGGGGUGAGUUUUCUGCUCUGGAAACAGUGACCUCCAACAGAGAGCAGGAGGGCAGCUGGGAGCAGCAAGGUUGUAACGUGCUUUGGUAAGCCGCUCCGGGCUUGUUGUCAGAGCCCUGUGCCAGAAUGACUCCAGGAAGGAAUGUCCUGUCAAAUAUUAGUGGUGGCUGAUAUCAAUGAGACCCCAUAAGGAUGGGAAAUUUGCAGAAUUAUAGCUUUAGGGUGACAAACAUGGCCUUGUUGCUCUAUUUGUAAGGCACCUACCAUAGUUUUAGUGGCUUAUGAAUAAAAGGUAAAAGAAAUAAUCAUUUCAAAACAUCUUUGUUUUAAAACUCCGUUUAUAACUUUGCAGUCUAACCUGAGGAGGAUAGUGACAAAGGCUGACCAUCACCUAAUGAGGCUAAUCACACCCUGCUCUCUCCAUAUCAGCGGAGGGAAACAGUUUUCUCCUGGGGUGACUCAGAACAGCGUUAACUUUGAUGUACCCUUUGGAAGAGCUUUGCUUUUUGUUUUGCUACAUGGUGGAACUAAGCUCAUGAGGCUGAAAUUAGCCUUUGAGAGUAUUUCCUGUAAAGGCAAGUGAUGCCUGAGACUCCCUUCUUUCCUCCAUGCUCGUUCAGUUUAGAAGCACUUGUUUUCAGUUUUAUAAGGAGAAAGUUCACUAAAUGAAACUUAGAUUUUUUCUUUUAUUUUGAAAGAAGCUGAAGCUUCUUUGUAAAAUGUAUGUUUCAGUGAUAAUCUCUGGGUAACCAGCAUGUUAUCCAAGUGAUGCCUAAAUGCUUCUGGUUGCAGAUGCUCUGUUCAGGAGCAGCAGUAUCCUGGUUCUUCAGUUGUGUACAAAAUGCAUCAAAUCAAUUACAGAGCCAGUUCUGUUAGUAGCCUUAAGAUGUCACUAACUGACUUGGCCUUGGCUUUUUCUGCUGUUUUGCAGCAGAGCUUAGGCUGGAGAAACGGAAAUGGACUGUUAUUUUUAACACAUCUGCCACCUCCUACAGUGACUGACAGACAAGGUGCUGAUGUCAAUUGACUAGUGUUACAGGUAUUAAUUAAGUCAACUAAAAGUCCUUUUAGUUUCUAUUUCCUUCUGCAGGGACGACUAGCCUACGUAAACGGGAGAUGCAAGGAGAGGAGGCGAGCUCUGGAGUGAUCAGCAGCUCAAUACGCUCCAGGAGGAAGUCGGGCUUUGGGAGCCAGCAGAAACAUCUGUGGAUUUGCUCAUGCCUUAAUGAGCUGCUUGAAGAAAUACUCGUGUGAGGGCCUCAGCUGACCGUUUGCUUUAUCACAAGGGCUAUGUUAAGCAUCUCAGUGUUUGUCACUCACAUUUUUGUUCUGUUUCUGUCUUUCGCCACUCCCUGGUCUCCCCACAUGUUACGCUGAGUUGCUGAAGCUACCUCUGUGGUGCCAUCCUGAUCCUUGCUCGCUCCAAGCAACUCUGGUUAUUUUUCCCCUCUGACUGAAUUAAAGUCUGUUCAGAAAAUG